GGAAACGGCAUUGAGUGCUUGCACUCUUUGGACGUCGACCGGCGCACGGGUGAGUAACGCGUAUCCAACCUUCCCAUUACUGUGGGAUAACCUGCCGAAAGGCAGACUAAUACCGCAUAGUCUUCGAUGACGGCAUCAGAUUUGAAGUAAAGAUUUAUCGGUAAUGGAUGGGGAUGCGUCUGAUUAGCUUGUUGGCGGGGUAACGGCCCACCAAGGCGACGAUCAGUAGGGGUUCUGAGAGGAGGGUCCCCCACAUUGGAACUGAGACACGGUCCAAACUCCUACGGGAGGCAGCAGUGAGGAAUAUUGGUCAAUGGACGGAAGUCUGAACCAGCCAAGUAGCGUGCAGGAUGACGGCCCUAUGGGUUGUAAACUGCUUUUGUAUGGGGAUAAAGUUAGGGACGUGUCCCUAUUUGCAGGUACCAUACGAAUAAGGACCGGCUAAUUCCGUGCCAGCAGCCGCGGUAAUACGGAAGGUCCAGGCGUUAUCCGGAUUUAUUGGGUUUAAAGGGAGCGUAGGCUGGAGAUUAAGUGUGUUGUGAAAUGUAGACGCUCAACGUCUGAAUUGCAGCGCAUACUGGUUUCCUUGAGUACGCACAACGUUGGCGGAAUUCGUCGUGUAGCGGUGAAAUGCUUAGAUAUGACGAAGAACUCCGAUUGCGAAGGCAGCUGACGGGAGCGCAACUGACGCUUAAGCUCGAAGGUGCGGGUAUCAAACAGGAUUAGAUACCUGGUAGUCCGCACAGUAAACGAUGGAUGCCCGCUGUUGGUACCUGGUAUCAGCGGCUAAGCGAAAGC
rnacentral:rRNA from 1 species